rnacentral:rRNA from 1 species
GUCCUGGCUCAGGACGAACGCUGGCGGCGUGCCUAACACAUGCAAGUCGAACGGAAGUUAGAGCUUCGGUUUUAACUUUAGUGGCGAACGGGUGAGUAACGCGUGAGGAACCUGCCUUUCAGUGGGGGACAACAGUUGGAAACGACUGCUAAUACCGCAUGACACUUUUGGGGGACAUCCCUUAAAAGUCAAAGCUUUAUGUGCUGAAAGAUGGCCUCGCGUCUGAUUAGCUGGUUGGUGAGGUAACGGCUCACCAAGGCG